UACGAAGGGGGCUAGCGUUGUUCGGAAUUACUGGGCGUAAAGCGCGCGCAGGCGGCCAUUCAAGUCAGGGGUGAAAGCCCAGAGCUCAACUCUGGAACUGCCCUUGAAACUGCAUGGCUUGAGUACGAGAGAGGUGAGUGGAAUUCCCAGUGUAGAGGUGAAAUUCGUAGAUAUUGGGGAAGAACACCGGUGGCGAAGGCGGCUCACUGGCUCGUUACUGACGCUCAGGCGCGACAGCGUGGGGGAUCAAACAGG
rnacentral:rRNA from 1 species